rnacentral:misc_RNA from 1 species
GUUGCUAAUGGGGAGAAAGCAAGCCAAAAGAAUUCAACAGGUGGGAAUAACAAGGCAACUAGUUCCAACCCUCCAAAAAGUAAUAAACCCCAUGCCAAAGCAACUUCUAUCAAACAUUAUAGAUGUAAUGAGGAGGGGUAUUGAUGCAACGAAUAUCCAAGGAGGAAAACCGUGAGUUUUGUUGAAAACCAAAAGGAAAUUUUUUAUGAACCUAAAGAAGGUGAGGAUGUGGAGGAUGAUUUUGAGUAUGAA